rnacentral:ncRNA from 1 species
AGCAUUGCGAUGGCCAGAAAGUGGUGUUGACGCAAUGUGAUUUCUGCCCAGUGCUCUGAAUGUCAAAGUGAAGUAAUUCAACCAAGCGCAGUAUCUUGCUACUUGGAUAACCGUGGUAAUUCUAGAGCUAAUACAUGCUAAAAAUCCCGACUUCGGAAGGGAUGUAUUUAUUAGAUUAAAAACCAAUGCCCUCUGGGCUCUCUUGGUGAAUCAUGAUAACUUCUCGAAUCGCAGGGCCUUGCGCCGGCGAUGGUUCAUUCAAAUUUCUUCCCUAUCAACUUUCGAUGUUUGGGUAGUGGCCAAACAUGGUUGCAACGGGUAACGGAGGGUUAGGGCUCGACCCCGGAGAAGGAGCCUGAGAAACGGCUACUACAUCCAAGGAAGGCAGCAGGCG